CGGAACACGUACACAACCUUCCGAUAAGUGGGGAAUAGCCCAGAGAAAUUUGGAUUAAUACCCCGUAACAUAUAGAGUAGGCAUCUUCUUUAUAUUAUAGCUUCGGCGCUUAUUGAUGGGUGUGCGUCUGAUUAGGUAGUUGGCGGGGUAACGGCCCACCAAGCCUACGAUCAGUAGCUGAUGUGAGAGCAUGAUCAGCCACACGGGCACUGAGGCACGGGCCCG
rnacentral:rRNA from 1 species